AAGAAUUAAAUGGAUGAAAUAUGAAAUUUUAUUAAAAGAAAAAGGGGUGAAAAGAACAAAGUUUUGUCCAUCUUUGUUCAUCAUAGCCUAAAGUUAGAGAAGAGAAAGGAGAGGAGAAAGCUCUUGAAUGUUCGGUCACUUGGGGAAGAAAAUUGAAGGAAAUCCCCAACCAUAGUGGGCUUGGAGCUGUGAGGGAAUUCAGAGUGGCCACCCGUUCUGAAGGUUUGAUUUUCUUCUGGUGAACUGGACAUCCUUUUAUUUACGUUUGAAGUUUUGGGUUUUUAAAUGUAAUAAGGCCGCUUAAUUAUUUUUUAUGGUUUUAAUAUGUAUUACUAAGAUAGGUAUUACUUAUUUUAACUGUUGAAAUUGGAUAGCUUUAGGGCGCGUUUUCAAAAACAACAAUUGAUUUCAAAAUAACACGACAACAAAUAAA